CAUCCAUGCCUUGUUCCCACACUUCAUCAGUUCUGAUCCUGAACCCCUGUGUACCAACCUCCGCUUGUCCUCCGACCAACCCCGUGAUUGGAACAGAUCCUGAGUUGGAUGAGAGCAGACAGUGUCAUUGGAAUAGAUACAACACUAAAAAUAUAAAAGCUCAUCAGCCACUGAUUCCUACCCGUCUCCCGCAGACACUCUUCUUUGUGUCUCUCAUCCCAUGCGAUCAGUUUGCAGGCCAUGGAGCAGUAAAAGACUUUGUGGCAGCGAGUACAAGCAGUUAGCUUCACAGCAGCAGAGCGACCGCAGUGGUAGCAAAACCUGAAUGGUGACCUAAGUAAAGAUUCCAUGACACAUACCAGAUUCUGUUCUGUUCGACUGAUCGACUUAAAUUAAAACACAGAGAAAUCCCAGAAGAAGCUCAAACCCUCCACUGAAAUAGUUACCCUAAGUAACCAAGUCGUGGAGCAGCAACUUCCAAAUAUGGGCAAGCUUGCAUGGGAACAUCGUUGUCCGAUUGCCCUGCCUUGCGGUGAACACCAACAAAACCAACUGCAGUGUGAAAAUGCCCUAAAUAUUAGUUCACUAAUUGGGGUUUGGGAAUGUUUGCGUUGCAAUGCAUCGCUCAUUUUUUUAAACACACUGUAUUUUCCUGCUGGAUUAACUCACACAGUAGUCGCUGUCUCUCUGGCAGGCUAUGUGCAGAGCUGUUCGACCUCCCUCUUUUGGACGUGGCUUCUCACUGAGCUUCCAGGAUUUUCUCGUUAUCGUGGAACCCUUCUCUCCAGUAUCACCAGAAUGCUGUUGAAACCAAGCAUGACUCAGAGCUUCAGCAGCUCCCUGAAGAACUUUCUCUGUGACGUGGAUACUGUAGCUGUACAUGCAGCAGGCAGAGUCAAAGGCUUGCACUGGGAUCGCAUUCUUGUUUGUGUCCUGCUGUGAAAGUUUUUGAUGAAUAUUCUUUCCACUUCACGCUGCCGAGGACAAUAUGGCCUUCCUUCACUUCAAUGGAGUGUUCUGAAAGCAGCACUUUCUCUUCAUUCCCAGCAUCAUCCUUAUCCCUCCCUUCAGCCUCAUAAUAAU